UUCUAUGGCCAUGCCACCCUGAACAUGCCCGAUCUUGUCUGAUAUCUGAAGCUAAGCAGGGUCGGGCCUGGUUAGUACUAUGGGAGAUCACCUUGGAAUACCAGGUGCUGUAGGCA
rnacentral:rRNA from 1 species